rnacentral:rRNA from 1 species
CCCAGUAAACGGCGGCCGUAACUAUAACGGUCCUAAGGUAGCGAAAUUCCUUGUCAGGUAAGUUCUGACCCGCACGAAAGGUGUAACGAUUUGAGCACUGUCUCGACAACACGCCCGGUGAAAUUGAAGAACCAGUGAAGAUACUGGUUACCCGCAACAGGACGGAAAGACCCCAUGGAGCUUUACUGCAGCUUAAUAUUGGGAUUCGGUAUUGUAUGUACAGGAUAGGAGGGAGACUAAGAAGCUAGCACGCCAGUGUUGGUGGAGUCGAUGGUGGGAUACCUCUCUUAUAAUACUGAAUUUCUAACCUACUUCCGUGAUCCGGAAGAGGGACAUUGUUAGGCGGGCAGUUUGACUGGGGCGGUCGCCUCCGAAAGAGUAACGGAGGCGCUCAAAGGUCUUCUCAGAAUGAUUGGAAACCAUUCAAAGAGUGUAAAGGCAAAAGAAGGCUUGACUGCGAGAGUGACAACUCGAGCAGGUACGAAAGUAGGACUUAGUGAUCCGGUGGUAACAAGUGGGAGUGCCAUCGCUUAACGGAUAAAAGCUACCCUGGGGAUAACAGGCUUAUCUCCCCCAAGAGUUCACAUCGACGGGGAGGUUUGGCACCUCGAUGUCGGCUCAUCGCAUCCUGGGGCUGUAGUAGGUCCCAAGGGUUGGGCUGUUCGCCCAUUAAAGCGGUACGCGAGCUGGGUUCAGAACGUCGUGAGACAGUUCGGUCCCUAUCCGUUGUGGGCGUAGGAAAUUUGAUAGGAGCUGUCCUUAGUACGAGAGGACCGGGAUGGACGAACCUCUGGUGAAUCUGUUGGUAACCAAUGCCACAGCAGAAUAGCCAAGUUUGGAACGGAUAAACGCUGAAGGCAUCUAAGCGUGAAGCCAACCUAAAGACUAGAUUUCCCAUGCGAAAGCAGUAAGACUCCUUGUAGACGACAAGGUUGAUAGGCCAGAGAUGUAAGCACAGUAAUGUGUUCAGUUGACUGGUACUAAUAAGUCGAGGGCUUGACCAA